rnacentral:rRNA from 1 species
GAUGAACGCUGGCGGCGUGCCUAAUACAUGCAAGUCGAGCGAACAGACGAGGAGCUUGCUCCUCUGACGUUAGCGGCGGACGGGUGAGUAACACGUGGAUAACCUACCUAUAAGACUGGGAUAACUUCGGGAAACCGGAGCUAAUACCGGAUAAUAUAUUGAACCGCAUGGUUCAAUAGUGAAAGACGGUUUUGCUGUCACUUAUAGAUGGAUCCGCGCCGCAUUAGCUAGUUGGUAAGGUAACGGCUUACUAAGGCAACGAUGCGUAGCCGACCUGAGAGGGUGAUCGGCCACACUGGAACUGAGCCACGGUCCAGAGUCCUACGGGACGCCGCAGUCGCGAAUCUUCCGCAAUAGGCGAAAGCUUGACGGAGCAGCGCCACGUGAGUGAUGAAGGUCUUCGGAUCGUAAAACUCUGUUAUUAGGGAAGAACAAAUGUGUACGUAACUAUGCACGUCUUGACGGUACCUAAUCAGAAAGCCACGGCUAACUACGUG